AUAUAACCACCCUUUCCAGCAACAACAAUGAAAAUAUCAUUAAAGUUUUACCACUGGUUUAUUCUCUACAUAAUAAAUGGAUACUUUAAAAAAACAUUUUGCCAACUACAAAUUAUGACUUCAUCAAGGAUGUGAAAAGGUGAUGGCGGAGUUGGAAAAGAGAAUGAAUACAAUGGCUAAGACUUGCAGUAUAAUAUCAAAAAGGAAUGGGUGAAGCAAUUGAGGUUUCUUCCAUGGGUCCAGGGAAUUGAUUAAGAUCAUUAUUCUAGAGUUCAAGCCUGAAGACUACAAAAGACCAAUAAAGCCACAGACGUGACUAAUAUAGCCUCCCAAUUUAUUCAAGUUUAAAAGAAAAAAGAAAAAUACACAGACUGAAUUUUUCUUUAGAUCAGUGUUUCUUUGAUUAGGUCACUGUAAAGAGAAAUUCAACAGGCCUUAAGGCCUUGCUCUCCCUAGUAAUUCUUGGACUGUUUGUAGCUGGCAGC